rnacentral:lncRNA from 1 species
CUUUCCUACGCAUUUGACGCUAACGUGCUCCAUCCUGGAGGCUUCAUUUCUCUCUCUCUCUCACGCGCCGCCCUUGGAUUCUUCAACUAUAUAUACCGCAUCGCGUCCCGCUUCCUGUUCAAUCUUCAAUCCUUCAUUUUCUCUUUAAACUCAUAUCUUUUGUUUGAAUCUUUGUUCUAAAAUUUUCAUUUCUUUUACCGAAUUUAUUGCUCGAUCGAAGAUGAAUUCAAUGUUGAGCGCUAAAUCGUGGAGUUUCUCCAUUAUCGGAUUUAUGCUGAUGGCGUUAAUCCGGUACAGUAACGGACAAGGAAUGGCGCCGUCGCCGGCACCGGCUGGAUCUUCCAACGACGGUGAGUAUCUUCAUUGGAAAUGUAUAUUUCUCUUUGUGAAACACGUGAUUUUACUCAUGAAAACUGUUCGAAAUUCUAGAUUUGUCUCAACAUCUUCAUUUUCUAUUUCAGUUGUUAAAAUCGGAAGAAAUUGCUGAAUUGUUAAUUACAGUUUCUUUGUUUCUUUUUGAAAACUUGAAUUUCUUUCUUCCAAUUUCUUCCUCCUCUUCUAUUCGUCAUCAUCAUCAUCAUCAAGUGAGCAAGGAUUUACCAAUUAUUAACUGAAAAUUCAUUGAUUUAUUUGAUGCAGGCGCGGCAAUUGAUCAAGGGAUUGCAUAUGUUCUCCUAUUUGUAGCACUCGCGAUCACGUACUUAAUCCACUGAUGUUAGUAAUUAUUUUAAAAGUUUGAAAUUAUAUUAUUAGUGCGAUUAAUUCAAUUUUAUUUUUUUUAAUGUAUUUUCUCCUAUUAUUGAGAGUAUAAAUUUGAAUUAUUUGUAUUUUCAAAUUUGCACCACUAUUGUAAAGAAACUAGUUUUAUGCCAAUGCAAUGCACGAGUUGCUGUUUUCUUAAAGUAAUGUUAGUGCGUAAGUAUCAUGGAUUUACGAGACAGAUGUACUAUAAAUGAGUUUCUGAAAACCAAAGAGAGUAUUUAAUUGAUAUAUGUUAG